UUGGUCUCUCGCAAAUUUCAAAUUUUGUUGGAAAAAACAGUAUUAGAGAAGCAACGUUUUAGCUGUCUAUAGUACAUAAAAGACAAUAUGCUGGAACUUUUUUUUGGAAAAUAUUUAAAGAUUGUAAGUAUCUCAAAGAGGAAGAACGGAAAACUUAGAUAUCAUUAUCUUAAUAGAGGAGCGCAGUAGGCUUGCAUCAGCACUUUCAUUUAUUAUAGUCUUUUAAAAUGCUGGCUAUAUAAGUCUGAGCAAAUCUCUUGGUAAAAAGAAAAAAUAAAAAUAAAGGCAUCCACAAGUCCUAAUAUGCUCAAAAUUGCUUGAGAUUUCAAGUGAGAGAAUGUGAAAUUGUAUAUAUGCAGGCUUUUCAUAUGUGAAUUUAAAUAAUAUAUAAAGUUCAUGUAACAGUGAAUAGCAAUAAUAAGCAUAACCUUAGUAACAAUGGCCAAGGAACAGAAAUAAACACCCUCUGAAUAAUCUGAGGAUUGUAAAUUUUUAUGAAGUUAUACUAUAUUCAGUGAAAUUUGAAGGUUGUGCUAUCUUAGCCUUUCCCAUCAUGUUGUUAAACAGAAACCACCUUUGAAUGUGGGAAAGUGCUUUGGAUGGAUCAGACCCAUUGCAUAAUAGUGUGAGGUCCCAAUACCUAGCUUUAAUACACCUCCACACUUUCCAUGUUACAAACUGAUUAAGAUAUAAAUUCUCUCUUCAAUUAACCCUGACCUGAUGCAAUAAAUUUCUGUGUAAUUUUUCCUGAUAAGGAUGAUAUGCAAACCACAGAGAGGAGAGCAGCAAACCUGACUGAGGGUAAUAUUAGCCACAUGAUAGUCUCUGAACAGAACUUGGAGAAAAAGCAAAAUCUACCAUAAUGUACUGAGUCGUUAUUGCUAACAGAAGCAUAGCUCAUCUGUAACAGCAGUAACAUUGGUCUCAACUGGGGAAACACGGCAGGAGGUUCACGGAGUGCUCUUCCACCAUGCUGGGGAAAUGAUCCCUGGUGAAUGCCCAAAUGCAGCUUGAAACAUCAGAAGUGCUGGUACUCAGAUCAUCUAAAGCACCAGUUACAAAUAUAUUACAAGGAUGUAUAUGCUCAAAGCUGCUGUUAUAUGAAGCAUGUCAUCUUAUAGCCCAGGGGAGAAGAAUUAAAUUGUGCAAUCCUAGUUAGAAGCUGAAUGGAUGCUCUGAUACUUGGAGCCGAAAGGCGUAAAAUGCAACAGCAAGCAGUCAGAGCGGAAACAAGCUUUGGCCUUUUCUGGACAUUUCUACACUCCAGAAUAAACCCAGUUUACCACCAAUGGCUAAGAUAGCUACAACGUGGGAGCGCCCCAAAAAUAGAGAGUAGCCAGCUGAAUUGAUUGAAUUUAGUAUUAUGAGUGGUGAUAAAUAAACCCAACACUACAGGGGAAGUUGGAGCUCCAGCUUUCCACUAUAAUAAAUUCUUGUAGCUCUAAAACCUCCACUGCUUGAACCGUCAGAGGCUCCUGGGCGGGAGAAGUGUUCUUUUAUUCAUCCUAUGAAAUCCCAUUCAGGUUCUGCUGCCAUAUGAAUAGCUGAUAAUUGCCAUUUCCUUCCACUCGCUUGUGUUCCCCAGGAAAUCGCAGCUGGCUGCCAACCCCACCGAAGGCAAGCAGGGUGGGGAGCUGUGAGGCAGCAGCUGCAGGCAGCACAGCUGUCCUGGCGGGGUUCGCGAGAUAGCAGGUCACCUUCACAGCUGAAGCCUUCAUCAGCUGCUGACUGAAGCAAAACUUCAAGAGUAAUGAAGACCAAGAACACUUGUUGACAAGGAGGGUUUCUGCAGUUGAGAAGAGAAUUUCUGGGACUGGAGUUAGCAGACCAAAACCAGUAACACCUGCUUUGUCAUCAACACAGAGAAAGCUAGAUCACACUGUGUUUUUUUGCUGAGCAGUGGUCAAUGCAGGAGACCCAGUCAAGACCUUCCAGUGUGAUCAGCAAAAGGAUGCCUUCUUAGGUUCACUGAGUCCCACGUAACAAGAUCCUGCAGAUUCAAGAAAGCUGGAAGAAGACAACAUGAUGAACAUCCCCUGAAAAUGUGAAUAGUGCCAGUUCAUAAAAACAGCCAGGAAUGUGUCAGUCUGCAUCUGACUGAGCUUGGUAAGUGAAGGCAGGUUAAGAUCCUAAUGGCAGCAUGACUCUUUCUUUUAGAAAGCAGUGCAGACAUAGGUGUUCUGCUUUCUAGCAGCAUUAGAUUUGCAAUGGUUGGUUCAGCUCAGUUAACUGUUUUGAUAAUGCUAUACUGGUUAAAGUUUUCCCAAUCAGGUUCUCAUGGUUUCCCAAUCCACUCUACCUCCCUACUGAAUGCAUUUGCAUGCAGUGCAAGGAGGGAAGUGAGAGCUGGAAUGUGUCCCCUUACCAGCCCUGGGGCUACGUUAUUUCAGGUAUAUAAAGCUAUCUGGUCCAGCUUGUUAACCUAGGAAACUUCUAGAAAGCCUUUCCUUUUUCUGAGACAAAGACCCAAGCCAAAUCCAUGCUUGUU